CAUAAGUACAUAUAAUCAACAUAUGAAAGUGCAAUGUGCAAUAGAAUCAUUAACCUUAGAGUUUGGAACGAACAUUGGAACCAGAAGCCAGAUGAUUAAUAGUUGUGUGCCCUAAUAGAACACAAAAAAAUAAAUAAUAAUAGAUUGAGUGUAAAUUUAAAAAGAGCGCUCUUAAUGUGACUUUGACAACAGUGAUGAGUAUAGUGGCCUAAACAAUUCACUCACAGAGUCACUGUCAACACUUUGGCGAAGUAGAUAUACCAACUAGUGAACAUAUAUUCGUGCAUUCUAAAAUAGUCGUUCUCUAGGGGGCAGAAGGUGUAGCAAUGAAUGGAAAACUCUUUGACGUUAGACAAAAUAUAUUGCUUCUCUUACCAGUUGGCAUAUCUUCGCUAAGUCCAUUCUGCAUUCUAAUUAUUUUGCAGUGAACAUCCUAUCAUUGCAGCUUUGUGUACAAAUGUGUGUGUAGAGUUUCCCCUAAACUUUAGAUAGAAAUAGGCAGAAGAAAAUCAUUUGAAGAUUACCCAUGUAGUUUGCUAGAAUCUGAAGAAAAGUAGUCAUCUACCAAUAAUCCUGCGUGAUUGUAAAAGUCUGUCGAGUUCCAUAACUGAGCUCACGAAUGAAAAUAUACCAACACUAGAACCAAUGAAAAGAGUUUUGGAAAAAAACUUCGCACGAUUUUUCUUCAUCAACAUUUUGUACCAGAAACGCAGAAGAUGACAGUAAGAGGCAUUUUUGUAAUUUAAACUUACUUGGUCACGAAUGCGCCAUCCAAUCGAGUAGUCGUACUGCACUGCUGCACUCUCAUCAACACGAGCACAUUCAAAUGCAGGCGCAUGAGACACCAGUUCGAACCGUAGCACAUUUCUGUACAAAUAUGAUGUGCACAAAUACACUUGAAUAUAUAUACCCAUACAUAUGUGUAAAUACAUACAAACAUGGUUACAUGCCUAUGCACAUGUAACGAUGACACAGAUCCGAGAUAUGCUUGAAUGCACUUUCAAGUGUAUAGAUCGCAAGUGUUGUUUCUUUGAAAAUUUGUCGCACAAAAAGCCAGGAAAGAUCACCCGUUCUAACUAUAGGUCCUUGGUUAGGCUGAGCGAAUCGGAUCCAUUUGGAAUCAGGGCUGAGGUAGAGGAAAAUGACCGGCGAAAUAUUUGGGAACAAUUUAAACGGUAACUAUCUGGACAAUUUACCGUUGGCUCGGAUUUUUCUUCACGAUAAUGACCUCAAGUCAUUAAAACUUGAGUAACUAGUCAAAAUAUUAAAAUUCUGUAUCAGCCAGCUCAAAAUCCGGUACUAUAGAAAACCUAUGGGCGAUUAUAAAAAUAAUAGCUGCACAAAAACCUCUCAACAAACAUUUAUGUGAAAUAAUAAUCCCAAUGUGAUAUGCAAUAAAGGAUACCCAACUAAUUAGCUUUAGGUGUUUUAUUAUAUGUGCACAACAUUUUGGAUGGGCUAAGCGAAUGAACGUAAUACAUACGAAUUCUUACAAAUUGUAAAA